CCUACGGGCGGCAGCAGUGGGGAAUAUUGCACAAUGGGCGCAAGCCUGAUGCAGCCAUGCCGCGUGUGUGAAGAAGGCCUUCGGGUUGUAAAGCACUUUCAGCGGGGAGGAAGGCGUUAAGGUUAAUAACCUUGUCGAUUGACGUUACCCGCAGAAGAAGCACCGGCUAACCCCGUGCCAGCAGCCGCGGUAAUACGGAGGGUGCAAGCGUUAAUCGGAAUUACUGGGCGUAAAGCGCACGCAGGCGGUCUGUCAAGUCGGAUGUGAAAUCCCCGGGCUCAACCUGGGAACUGCAUUCGAAACUGGCAGGCUAGAGUCUUGUAGAGGGGGGUAGAAUUCCAGGUGUAGCGGUGAAAUGCGUAGAGAUCUGGAGGAAUACCGGUGGCGAAGGCGGCCCCCUGGACAAAGACAGACGCUCAGGUGCGAAAGCGUGGGGAGCAAACAGGAUUAGAUACCCCGGUAGUC
rnacentral:rRNA from 1 species